CCUACGGGUGGCAGCAGUGGGGAAUAUUGCACAAUGGACGAAAGUCUGAUGCAGCAACGCCGCGUGGAGGAUGACACAUUUCGGUGCGUAAACUCCUUUUAUAUGAGAAGAUAAUGACGGUAUUAUAUGAAUAAGCACCGGCUAACUCCGUGCCAGCAGCCGCGGUAAUACGGGGGGUGCAAGCGUUACUCGGAAUCACUGGGCGUAAAGAGCAUGUAGGCGGAUUAAUAAGUUUGAAGUGAAAUCCUAUAGCUUAACUAUAGAACUGCUUUGAAAACUGUUAAUCUAGAAUGUGGGAGAGGUAGAUGGAAUUUCUGGUGUAGGGGUAAAAUCCGUAGAGAUCAGAAGGAAUACCGAUUGCGAAGGCGAUCUACUGGAACAUUAUUGACGCUGAGAUGCGAAAGCGUGGGGAGCAAACAGGAUUAGAUACCCUAGUAGUC
rnacentral:rRNA from 1 species